CGUACAGGUGGCCUAGUGGUUAGAGCGUCUGCACUGGAUGCGAGAGAUCGUGGGUUCGAUCCCCCGCCGCAUGA